rnacentral:piRNA from 1 species
UGAGUGUGGCUGAAUGACUGAUCAGU